UACGAACGCUGGCGGCGUGCUUAACACAUGCAAGUCGAACGAAGUGGCGAACGGGUUAGUAACGCGUAAUCAACCUGCCCUUCAGAGGGGGACAAUAGUUUUCAAUGACUGCUAAUACCGCAUACUGACGGUGUGGAUUGCGUCUGAUCAGCUAGUUGGAUGGGGAACCGCCACCCAAGGCGAUGAUCAGUAGCCGGUCUGAGAGGAUGAACGGCCACAUGGGGACUGAGACACGGCCCAGACUCCUACGGGGGGCAGCAGUGGGGAAUCUUCCGUAAUGGACGAAAGUCUGACGGAGCAACGGCGCGUGAGUGAUGACGGCCUUCGGGUUGGAAAGCUCUGUUAAUCGGGACGCGGUACCGGAAUAGAAAGCCACGGCUAACUACGUGCCAGCAGCCGCGGUAAUAC
rnacentral:rRNA from 1 species